CUUUUAGUAUGGAGCUGGAAAAUCCAAUAAAAAUUUUGUUUUUUGAUGUGUUUUUGUCGCUGCAAUUCCUAAGAGUGGCUAUUACAUGUAGAAUACAUAAUUUUUUCCGAUUGAGGAAUUGUCAUUAAAAAUCAUUAAAAAAAUUUUCUGUUUCGCAUUCGGAAAUCCACAUAGGUUUUUAUGUCCAUAUAGACUUACGAAAAGAACAGAUACAAACCUAAGUGUAAAGUGCAGAUGAGA